AAGGGUGAUGUAGUCUUAACAUCAGUCACCUCUGAUGAUUUUUUAGGGCUGAUUCUACUGAUCUGAGUAGGUACCCUUUCUGUAUCACUAUUAUACAUGCUUCCUUCCUAAAAUGGCCUACUUGGUGGAUGCAGGAUGGAGCAGGCUGACCUUCCAGAUUUAGGAAGACACUUCUUCAGUCAAGUGUGGAUAAAUGUCUAUGGCCCUGCUAGAACCUUUAACCAAAUUCUAGAAGUGUAUAUGCAGGAGAGUAUAAGGAAAGCCUCCAAGAUACUAGAUACAACCAAUGGAGACACUGAGUUGAGGUAGACUGCCCAU
rnacentral:snRNA from 1 species